rnacentral:ribozyme from 2 species
CCGUUAAUGCGGCCACGCCAUAGGCGUGACGGUCACAAGCCCGUGUAAACGCAGAGUGGCGG